ensembl:lncRNA
GUUAUAUUCAGAAGUCUGUAUUUUUUGUGUGUUUUAAAGACAUUUUGCAAAAGGGGGCCUCGGUCAAAUGUUAAUGCUAUUUGGGGGGCAUUGCCCUGGAAAAGUUUGGGAACCCCUGGUAUAGAACGUCUUUGUAUGCUGUAACUUUACAAUUUCCCUUCACUGGAACCAAGAGACCCAAACCUGUUCCGGCAUGACAAAGCGAGCUUCAUGAAGACACGCCGUGUUAAGGUUGGAAGAACUCGAGUGUCCUGCACGCAGCUCUGACUUCAACACCUUUGAGAUGAACUGGAACGCCGACCGCACCCCCAGACCAAAAAACACAUGGGUGCGAUGGUCAGAUGCCUACAAACGUUUGGCCACGCAGAGUAUACAUCAGCGCUUACUAAAUCUUAACAUAUCAGAUGCAGUGCUAUCGUCCAAUAGCUUGAAUAGUUGUCUUGUUACUUGAAAAGUGUAUAGCAUCAUGCUGAAGGCUGAGGUUUACAACCAUAAAAGAGUAUUUGGUUGGUUUCUGAAGCAUGUGUUGUAGUUAAAGCGUUGCGAAGCACAUUACAAAAAUAAUAAUAUAAUAAUAAUAAUAAUAAUAAUAAUACGAGUUGGCGAUCCAACCCGGCUGCACUGUCUUCAACUGUGUUCAUGACUUCAUACGGAAAAUACGUAAAGAAUAACCGAAUCUGGAUUUCCGUGUUCAAAUUUGAAAAAUAUUUUAAUAUUUACACGCCUUCACGUUUAUACUGCUAGUCACAGACAUUGACGAUAGCUCUCCUCUCAAAUGGCGAAAAAAUAUUUUCACUUUCCGCGUGAGUCUCGUUGUUCACGUAUUUGCUAGCGUAUCUUACAUACAUACGGAGGAUCAAAAGCAGCGUCCGCUAGAUGGCGUGUCAGAGCCGCGACAUCUCCGUCCAACCGUGACGCUUAGCGAGCUCACGCGCACGGGCGUUUAACACGCCGACGAGCUCGGUUUCGGUUUCAAACUUUCAGUGGUCGUUGCGACUGUCGUCAUGAUCCGAGUCUGAGUUCGAAAAACCCUCGAAAAUGCGACUUUCGACAGGAUCGGUCACUCGGUGAGCUAAAUUGUUCUUUUAAAAAGUCUAGAUACGGCUUACGUUCAUUCCUUAUCUACUCAUUUGAUCUGUACGUUCGGUUUUUGUGUAAAGUGCACUUCACUAUGGAAGAGUGUUCACCUUUAACAAGGCUACAACAGACCAAGUUCCUCUCAGUUACGCAACGCCUUACUUAACAACUUUCAUACGCCAAAACGGACAAACGAAGGUCGCUGCGGUCUCUUGUACUAGUCAGUGGCACAGGACCUCGUUAGCUCAUAAAAACGGGGGUGGGAAAGUGAAGGGGGAAAGGCUCACAGGAGCAGGUGGAGCAGAUUAAGCCCCUGCCGCUCGCCUAAUAAAACCAACAUGACCUGUUAACCCGCUGCCAAGACAGAGGAUGAUACUUUUUCAAUAUUAAAUCGCCGGCUAAACGCCCCGAGAGCUGCGCCGACCCAAUUCUGUCCCAGCGACGUGGCGAAUGUAGCGGUAGCAACGCCAUCAUCUUCUUUGUCUUCUGCCCCCAAGAUGGUUUCCCUAGAAAUGCGUGCGAGAGGAUAAGUAGCGCGGUCCCCGUGCUUGACGGGAGCUUCGUUCUGAAAAACCGUCAGCCACUUUCUCCGCGAAGCCGCAACAAAGGAAAUGAAUGAGGUCCCGUCACUCACUUCGCUCCGACACUAAAGCUGCAGAUUGGAGGGGAGGAGGGCAUCGAGAGAAAGAACGGGGAGAAGAAGAAGAAGGGAAAAAAAAAAAGCGCCCUCGCCCAGCAUUCAGUCAGGAAACACCUGGCACAAAGCUUGUGAGACAACACUUCCAAAGUACUCGACCGA